UACGUAGGGGCUAGCGUUGUCCGGAAUCAUUGGGCGUAAAGAGCGCGUAGGCGGCUAGAUAAGUCCGGUGUGAAAGUCAGAGGCUCAACCUUUGAAUGCCGCUGGAAACUGUCUGGCUAGAGUCCGGAAGGGGCGAGUGGAAUUCCUGGUGUAGCGGUGAAAUGCGCAGAUAUCAGGAGGAACACCAAUGGCGAAGGCAGCUCGCUGGAACGGUACUGACGCUGAGACGCGAAAGCGUGGGGAGCAAACAGG
rnacentral:rRNA from 1 species